CGCCUUUUGAUUUAUUAAUAUAAAAGGUCCUGCCUGCCCAGUGACACUGUUCAACGGCCGCGGUAUUAUGACCGUGCAAAGGUAGCGUAAUCACUUGUCCUUUAAAUGAAGACCAGUAUGAACGGCAAGACGAGAGCCUAACUGUCUCUCCCCACUAGUUAAUGAAAUUGAUUUUUCCGUGCAGAAGCGGUAAUAUUAUUAUAAGACGA
rnacentral:rRNA from 1 species